rnacentral:tRNA from 1 species
GUCUCCGUGGCGCAAUUGGUUAGCGCGUCUGACUGUUAAUCAGGAGGUUGACAGUUCAAUCCUGUCCGGUGACG